GCACCAGUAAGAGCCUUAAUCUGGGUCGAAGACCGCCCUGUGUCUUGAUGGACAGUCAAUCAGAUCCUCCGGCUCAGUGCAGGGAUACAGGUGACCUGGAGCUAUGAAAAAAAGCAACAGUCCUACCCUGAGGAAGAUUGUCCUUCAAAAGCUGCCAAGAAAGGGCACUUGGAGACUCCAGCAAGUGGCAUAGGGUGGCCUGGAGGCAACUUUACUUCACAUUUUGGCCCUGCAGAAAACAUACAUCUCAACAUACUAUCAAGUCAAACAAAUGAUGCAUUCAAAAGUGUAUCCAGAACUCACUGGUUGGUGAGCGGUUUUCCAAAGAGGCGGAAGAGGACAGACCUUGGACUAAUGAUCCUGAGACAAGGUCUGUAAUCAUAGGACACUUGUGGGCAUAGCUCACCAGCGAUGAAUGAACUGCCAAAUGCAGGAAACUGGGUGCCAAAGAGAGGAAAGGGCAUCUGCGAAGCACUGCCUCCAUGUGAGAUACUCUCCACCUACAUCGGAACAUGAAGAAGUGCCUACAAGUGCUGGCAUUGAAACAAGAAGUGUACUGUCAUUUCUAAAAAUAUGUAGUGUAGAACUUAGACAUCAAGGGACCUCCAGGAGGGUAGACUUUGAGGUCUAGAAAGUAUUCAGAGACACCAUAGGCAAUUGUAACACUUUUGCAUUUAAUUCUGUCAUAUCACUCACUGAAACACUUAAAGGUACAAUUGACUAGACAGACCCAGCAUGUUCCCUCAACUUUGACAAUUCCUGAAUGAACAGCUACAGCAUAUAACUAUACACGUACUUACUUGUCUCUAUAGUGCCACACUGCCUUAUCUGACCUGAGAACAUCCCGGUCCACUUUCAUGUAGCAGAGGAAAAAAGCCUUGCGAAACAUGACUCAUGAGAUCAGACAGGAUCAUACUGUUAAAAGACCACUACUUCCAUAUACUCAGCAGCAGUCAGCUGGCCUUGACAUGUGGAAGGGGAAGUCUUUUCAAGGACUUACUACCCUAUUACAGCUGUAUGAUGUUACUCAAGACAGAGGAGCCAUCUGCAGACGCAUACAUGUAUUACAAGAGAACAGAAUUAUGCAACCAAGGGCCCUGGGAGAUUUGAAAAAAUGCCAUCAAUCAGAAAUAAAAAUGUGGACUGUUCUGGAUCAAUUCUAUAAUUUCCAUAG